rnacentral:rRNA from 1 species
UACAGAGGGGGCAAGCGUUAUUCGGAAUUAUUGGGCGUAAAGGGCGCGUAGGCGGCCUGGCAAGUGACGGGUGAAAGCCCUCGGCUCAACCGAGGAACUGCCUGUCAUACUGCCGGGCUUGAGUCCGGGAGAGGUGAGUGGAAUUCCCAGUGUAGCGGUGAAAUGCGUAGAUAUUGGGAGGAACACCAGUGGCGAAGGCGGCUCACUGGACCGGAACUGACGCUGAGGCGCGAAGGUCAGGGGAGCAAACGGG